AAGCGCUUGCAGCCAGACUUGCCCGUAGUUGCUCAUCGGAACGUAGGUCCCGAGCACUCUUCUGCGGGCAGGCCAGCAUCAGUUUGGGCGGUCGGAUAAAGGCCUCUGUCACGUAUCUUCCUCCGGGAUGACCUUAUAGGGGAGGCGUAAUGCGACCAGCCCGGACUGAGGUCCGCGCAUCUGCCAGGAUGCUGGCGUAAUGGCUGUAAGC
rnacentral:rRNA from 1 species